GAUCGUUGCUUAAUAAGGCAGCGUUAGCUGUGUAUCUCUCAGUGAAGCAAAUAUAAAGGCUUUAACACGAUGCUAUUUUAUAUCUCACUUGUAUUUAUCAUGUUUCCAGUGGUGACUUUUUCACAAACACAAGCAUGUGUAAAACUGACGCUUGUACCUUUACAAGAAAAUGUUAUAUCGCUGUUAGAAAACAGCUUUCUCAAUGUAACAUUUGGUAUAGACGCCUCAAGCUGUCCCUUCAGGACAUCAUAUGCAAUAACCGUAAACACAAGAACACUAGAUGGUAAGUCUGAGUACGAUGGGUCAAUGACCUUGUUGGACGGCACGUGCAGUGAUACACGAAACACAUCAGUUCGUUGCAUCAGCCCCACGGGGCCUGGACAGCUGUACAGGAAAGUAAACAGAUCUCAUGUGCAGACACAGUGGGAAUGGAAGUGGAAAGACCCUCAAUCUGGUCGUUUUAUGAAUAAUCGAAAAGAGCUAAACCUUAAUGUUUUAUACACACCCAGUGUCAUUAGUAUGACAAUUAAUGGACAUGAAGCGAAUAGCAGGCAACUUAUUAACGAGGGUCAGAUCAACAUUUCCUGUUUGUUUGACAAAGGGAACCCUCCCGCUGAUUGUUCUCUGCUGGAUAGAAACAGAAAGCAACUGCAUCACUUGAGAUCGGAAAACUUACUCAUUUAUUCUCUUACAGUUCAAUGUCAGGACGAGUGGCCAGUUUUACACUGCGAAGGAAAAGGCUCUGACAAGAAUAGAUCGGUGUCUUUACUUGUUAAGUGUCGUCCUCAGUUUGUAGACAAACACCCAAAGGUCAUCAGUGAUACAGAAUAUGAAAAGUGGAUUUUUAACGUGAGGGCUCACACGACCAAACUUGAGAGCUGUUUUCUGAGUUCGUUGCCAUUGGAAGAGAACUCAAACAAGGAAAUAAAGUGUACACUGACUGGUGACCCACCUGACCUGCUGUUGACCGUUGACCUUAACAAGGAAGAUAGCGACAAGGAAGGAGAAUGGACACUAAGUCUCCUUAAUGAGAAAGGGUUUUCAGACCCAUUGGUCUUCAGUAAAAUCUCCCGGUCGACAAACAUGAUUUUACUGAUGCUACGGAUUCUACGGUUUUCUACACACUUGGCGUAACGCGCGAGGAGAUGGGGUACAUAGGGUAAGUACACUUGAGCCUACAUUAAUCAUCUUUAGUUUUCUAUCUAAUGUCAGCUUACUAAAGCGAAAAGGUAACAAAACAGUUUUCGUAGGAUGGUCUGCGAUGGUUAUAUUUGAAAUGUGCAUAAAUCUUUACAGGACAAGUCGGUCGCUUCAUCUUAUUAUUGACAGCUUCAUUUACUUCCUUGUCACUACUUCCUUAACUGUUUGUAGCUAGUACAAAAUUACACGCUCCGCAUCUCUACAAUCUAUUGCUGUGCAUUUAAACAUUUUCCAAUGGAUGCUUGGAUAAUACCGUACACGUGCAUAACCUUUAAAAUCUUAAUAGGCCACUUCCCCCCCCCCACACACACACACAGGAAUAUAUUUGUGUGGCGAAGUGGGUGGUUGUGUUUUUAAGUCUUUACAUGAAUGCCUUCUAGUUGUGUUUUAUAUGAUUUAAAUUAAGGUGUGAUCUAUUGUGAAAGAAAUACGAACCUUAUAAUUAUAUUCAUUCUUUUUUUUUUCAGGGGCUAGGCUGUGAAGUUGAUUCUCGCUCAUACCUUGGACAUUCAGGAUCUAGGAACACCAAAAUCACUAGGACACUAUCUGAUAAAAGUAGCUGACUGCAGUCGUGAUACAAUUGAAAAAACAUUGGCAAAAGAUAAAAAAAAUCGUAUUCCAGGCACGCCUUGUAUCUUCUUCGACGACUGCUUAUUCACCAGACUACUGGACACUAUUAUAAAGCACACAGUGGAACAAGCGAGGAUGAAAAUUACCUCGGAUAUCAGAAAACUGAUGUUAUUAGUUAUAUUGUUAGAAUUACAUGGUUCGUAGAAUUGCAAUUUUUAUUACAUUGUUCUUGUUUUACUGCUGGCAUGCAAAUUUUGUAAAACUCUGUAUGAUCUCUUAUCCUUUUUCUUUCUCUCUAGGCACCUCCCUUCCCUUUAGUCUUAAAUUUACUAUUUUAUUGUGCUUUUUGCAAUGCAUGUCUUGCAUCUUAUUGCAUGUUUGCUUAACCAAAAAAGUGUUGAAAUACAUAUGUGAUUGGGAAAAAAUAUAGCAUAUGGUAAUUUACAAAAUAACCUAGAGACCACGAAAGUUUAAACCAUGGAACGAAAAACACCUCACCACAAAUUUAUAAACAAAAUAAGUUUAUCAAAAGGUUAAUUUAAAAAGAUAAGAAAAAUAUUUUGGACACAGUAGCUAUAAUAUUUCUAAUAAAGAUGAAAAGAUGGCUUUGAAACAUAUAACCUCAAAAAAUAAGUAAUAUGUGUAGGGUGUCCAUGAUGUUAUAUCUGACAAUUAAAAAUUCGAAAACUGUUUCCUUUAACUGUCUUUCUGGCUGUAUAUCUUAAGAGAUGACUUGUAACAUGAAAAAUCUAUCCUAUUAGAGUUACCUUUGAGUGAGCUUCAAAAAAGGAACUUGGUUGCAGUUUACAGAAAGACGACGAGAAGUGAUAAAAUUAUUCCACUUAUCAAGGUUUAGACAGGUCACAGAUUCUUCGUUGUCACGUCAAGAAAGGAUUUGCCGAUGAUAUUCAAGUGAAGAUCAAAAUGCGAUUCUACUUUACGAAGCCUCCAAUUAGCUUUAUAACUGUCUACAAGAGCACAGGUUUUUUUUUACCUGCGCACCAGGUAAAAUAAGAAUGUCAGUAACUAAAAUAUCUCCAUUUUGUUGAAUACGAAUUGGAUCAGAAUACAACUAUAAAGUGUUCUUUUAUAUUAACUUGCUUCGGUCGAGCCAUUGUGUCUGCUGGAUUUAGAACGGUGAGAAGGUUAAUCGAAAGGUGUUUGCUCAUAUGCGUGAACCUUUUAAUGUUGGGCUACAAGUAUACUGUAUUGUCUUAGAGUGAUAAUAUAUUUAGUAUGUUGUUUAAUUUUCUGAUAUAUGUGGAUUCAUUAAAUUGUUUGUGUAAAGUUCAUGAUUUAGGCAAAGAAUUGUUGAUGAGAUUUGGUAACGGAACAAAUGAGCCUAGAGAUCAGAUAGACUGCACAUGUAGUAUGCUGGUACAAGACGUGUGAUUAAUGGCGAUUUUUUACUGAUAGAUGCAAUCAGUGGGUGUGAAGACUCAGGAGGGAAGACUUGCUAAAGAAAGAUGUAGCACUCCUGUUUAAGUCUGGCUGCUGCUCAUGCAGUGACCAUUAUGACUACUAACAGUUUAUGAAGUUGGCUAAGAAAAAUAAGCUGACUUGGUGUGAUAAGGACUGUGCCAUCACUUUUCAACGUUCCCAACUCACUACCAACUGUCACACCAAGAAUAUAUCAGGGCAGAAUUCAUCAGCUAGCAAGAAUAGAGAUAUAUCAGUAAAGAAAAGUAACAGAUCAAGAGGGGACGAUUGAUCAUGAAAAAAAACAAGCAAGAAAACAAAAAUCCACAGAAACAGAAAGAUGGAAAAAAGUAAAGAAAGGAAGCAAGAAAAACUGUGCAAAUCAAAUCUGGAUUUUAUUAAAAAAAAUUUCCAGACACAUAAGUUUCAAAUUUGUUACAACAGCUUUCCCCUAUUGUUUCCUCAGUGUCUUCUUUUGUCAGGCGAUGUCACACCGUACACACCCACACUGAUGUGAUGUCAAGCCUUACAAGAUCAUUAUGUCGGUGCAUACUUUAUGCAUUUUAUGACUAUAAAUUUCACCCUUCCAGUAUAACAAUUCACCGGAGAUAUCUUAAAAGAAAUAAUCUGAUGAGUUUUUGUGUAAACUUUUGCAUAUGCUGCAAGUAUUUUGUUUCUGCUUCUGUAGACAACAGAACCACCUUAAAGAGUGAGAUGGAGGAAAAUCACACGGAAUGAAGGGCAUAAUUAGUAAAUCAAACUUUUCCUUCAGUCUUAUUUUCAAUGCUAUUACUUCAAGGAAUUUCAACAUUUGCUAGCUGAUCAUUCUAGCAUUGAAAUCUUUUUUUUUAACCCUAUAAAGUUCUCAAAUACAGGAUUAUAUUUAACCAUGUUUUGUCAUGCUACUAUCCUCGAUCGAGCUUAAAACGAUUAAUGUUUCUAUAUUAUUUUCUGCUAGCAGUAAUGAUUUGCACACAUUUUGCAUUGUUAUGCUUCUAAUUGCUUUAUACUUGUCUGGUUUUUCAUUUUAUGUCUUUCUUUUAAGCAAGUUUCUUGAACAAACAGUCACCACACUAAACAUAUCAUAAUGUCUUAUUUGUCUGUUUAAUUGUGCCUUUGAAUUGGUAGUGAACAUGCAUAGUUAAAGAGUUUAGAAUAGAUUUUACAUUUAAUUAACUAAUCUUGUUCCUAGUAACAUUUGUUCUGUGGUACCAAUAGAAAUAAAGAUAAUGAAUCUCCAUGAAUGUAAACUCAUAAUAUUCUUACAUUUCCUUUGUUAACAUUCAUAUAUUAUUGACUCAUCCAAAUAAAAACCAUACCUUUAAUGCAUUUCUUUGAUCUUUGAAAAGCUUAAAAGUUAUCAGUUAGCUUGAGUUAAAUAUAUUUAUUAGUUAAUAGAAAAUGGAAAUUCUGUAACAAGUGAACAGAUUUUUUUAGCCACUUUGCCUUUACCUGAAAAUUCCUGACACAAUGUCUACUUUUAUUGCAUCUUGGCAUGGCUACAAGUAUUUUCUUCCUCGCUCUUGUGUCAUUUUUAAUUGCAUUUAGGAAUCAGAAUAUCUUUCUCUUGAUCUUUCUCUCUCUCUCUCUCACACACACACACCUCUGUACAAGAUGAAACUAACAGACACAAAACACAGAGACAGACUUAAACUCAGAUUUAAACUCAUCCUUGUACAAGAAUAAGUACAAGAGCUUGUGUUCAGAUAUGUCAUUUCUAAUUAACAAUAAAACUGUUUCAAAUA
rnacentral:misc_RNA from 1 species